UAGAAAGGUGACAGUGAUUGUGAUAGAAAGGUGAUAGAUACUGAUAGUGAUAGAAAGGUGAUGGAUAGUAAUGGUGAUAGAAAGGUAACAGUGAUAGUGAUAAGAAGGGUGAUAGAUAGAGGUUGUGAUAGAAAGGUGAUAGUGAUAGAAAGGUGAUAGAUAGUAAUGGUGAUAGAAAGGUCAUGGUGAUAGGAAGGUGAUAGUGAUCGUGAUAGAAAGGAGAUGGAUAGUGAAAGUGAUAGAAAGGUGAUAGUGAUAGAAAGGUGAUAGAUAGUAAUGGUGAUAGAAAGGUCAUAGUGAUAGGAAGGAGACGGAUAGUGAUUGUGAUAGAAAGGCGACAGAUAGUGAAAGUGAUAGAAAGGAGACAGAUAGUGAAAGUGAUAGAAAGGAGACGGACAGUGAUUGUGAUAGAAAGGAGACAGAUAGUGAAAGUGAUAGAAAGGAGACGGACAGUGAUUGUGAUAGAAAGGAGACAGAUAGUGAAAGUGAUAGAAAGGAGACGGACAGUGAUUGUGAUAGAAAGAAAGAUGAUAGUGAUAGAAAGGUGAUGAAUAGUGAUAGAAAGGUGAUAGAUAGUUAUCGUGAUAGAAAGGUGAUAGUGAUUGUGAUAGAAAGGUGAUGGAUAGUAAUGGUGAUAGAAAGAAAGGUCAUAGUGAUAGGAAGGUGAUAGUGAUUGUGAUAGAAAGGAGAUGGAUUGUGAAAGUGAUAGAAAGGUGAUAGAUAGUGAUUGUGAUAGAAAGGUGAUAGAUACAGAUAGUGAUAGAAAG
ensembl:lncRNA